CCUGGCGGCAAUAGCGCGGUGGUCCCACCUGACCCCAUGCCCGAACUCAGAAGUGAAACGCCGUAGCGCCGAUGGUAGUGUGGGGUCUCCCCAUGCGAGAGUAGGACACUGCCAGGC
rnacentral:rRNA from 1 species